ensembl:lncRNA
UAAACAACUUGUUAUUCGGGAGCAAUCAGCUGCAAUUAGGUAUUAAUUAAGUAUUAUGAAAGUUGAUUAUUUAAGUGAAUUCGGCUUUCGUCUCUCCGACUAUGGCAGUUACUGGCAUUGCUGUAGAGACAUCCUGAACGGCGUGUUGGAAAAGGAAGUGCACAGGACAAUCUUUCUGCAUUGUGAGCAUGUUUGAGACCCCCAUGCAAAGCUGUGCUCUGUUCUGAUUCCAAGUCUCCUCAGACAUGGCCGAGGAAAAUGCACGUGAGUGCUGACCUGGGGGCACCUUCUCUUGUUCUAUUUGCACCUGCUUGUACUUACUCAACACCUUCCCCUCUCAAGCACUGCCCCUCUCACUACAAAUGAGUCUGGAGACCCUGAUUCCAGCACAGCCAGGAGUUGAGAAACAUCCCAUAGAUGGGUGAAUGGCAUGAAAAGUUCAGAUUUGGGUGGUGUUUCUUUUUCUCUCAGUUUAGUGUGGCAGUGGAAAGGCAUAAGUUCCCUUCUGUCACUGGUGUGGUGUCAGCUGGGAAAUGAUUCUCCUGAGCCAAGCAGAGUGACAUGAGCAUAAGAUCAGUCAGAGAAGGAUCAAGCCCAGCAAGUUGGGAAGAGCAAAGGCACUGGGCUGAGUGUCUGGAGAUGAGCUGCCCAUGCUCACUGGGUGGGGAGGAGAGUCCCCCAGAAAGGGUCUGGCAGCUCAGCUAACGUCAGUGCAGAGAGUGGGAAUGUGCAGAGGCCUCAGGAGUGAGUCAGGAAGACACACACCUGUACCUGCCUUUCCUGUGAACUGCUGACCCUCACACAACAUCCUGCUCCAGUGCUGCAUCCUGGCUGCUGUUCUGGGCAUCCAGCUGGCUUGGGGCAGCAAAAGAAGAAAAAAACAGAGCCAGCAGCUCAGCUGAUCAGGGGUUUCAGUCAGAAGUUGCCCUGCCUGACUUGCAGUGGAUUCAGGGUGGCUUACUUUGGAAACUAUCUGUAGGGCAAGUCUGAACAAGCCAGUGGCACCUAAUUUCCCAGGGAGAUAGAAAAGCCACAGACAAAAAAAAAUGUUGCAAUAGAAGUUUGGGGAUCAGAGGACAUAGUGUUGCUGGCCAAACAAGGCUGUAAGUGAAGACUCAUCUGCCCCAUCCCAUCUACCUCCCUGGCAGUAGGACCCAAGGACCUCAGGAGGAUUCAGGAAGGCUUCUGGGAAGACAUCCUGAGCAGGGAAGGGGGUGCUGAAUGGGACAAGGCAGCAAGGGAGACAUGGAGAGCUGUGUGUCACACAGCUCAGCUACUGGGGCCCAGUUAAAACACAAUAUGUCUUCAGCUCAAAAUCUCCUUUCCCCCUUGCUUCCAACUCAUGUUCUCCUUGGAGCUCCAGGCAAGUUUACCAAUUUACACCCAAAUGCAGUAGAAUCACCAAGGUUGACAGGGUUUUGGUUUCAUUAAAUCUGAACUUUAACAUGCCAGCCCUCCACCCUGGCACACAUUUGCAGGGCUGUCAUGGCUGAUGCAGGCUUCCUCAUGGCUUAAUAAACCAGCACCUUGGAAGCCUGGGCUGAAUUCACCACAUCAUAGAAUUGUUUAGGUCAGAAAAGACCUUUAAGGUCAUCAGAUCCAGCCAUUAACCUGGCACUGCCAUGCCCACCUCACAAUGGGAGUUACCCUCCAAGAGCGUGAGCAGGCACGCUGGGACUGUGUCCUCUCUUGGGUGACCUGUACUGGUGCCAUACUGGGACUUGUGGGGACAUGUGCUGAGGUUUCCUCCUCCUGCACCCCAGCAGAGGGAAGGGAGGCUCUGGGCUCAUGGAACAGCUGGUUAUGGAUGUCUCCAUGUGUGUCCUCAUGGCAGUAGGGCAGUCUCCGGGUCAGGUCAGAUCCACGCUGCUUCCCAGACACACCAGGAGCCAAGUCCUAGAUUUUGGAGAGGCUCAAGGCAGCACUCCCUGAGUUCCCCCUGCACAGAAGAUACACCCUCACGGAGCUGUCUUUUUAUUUGCAAACUGAGCAGUUGUACUGGAAGAGAUUUAGCAAACAUGGGACUGCACAAUGCUGUGUAUACUGAGUCACACAUCGGGGCUGGAGCCAGCUAGCACUGUGAGCUACUGAGGCAAACAUUUGAGAAUAGCUACAAUAGGCACCAAAAAUAUCUUUAGAUGAGAUCUUUCUGAGUUGGUGCACAUUGGGUAACAGGGAGGGCUGAUAACCUAAGCUUAAACUCUACCCACAUGCUCUAGAGCUCAUCCUGGGCAAGCCAAGCUACUGGAAAGGGGAACAAAACAGAGAAAAAGCAGGUUUUCUCUUGAAAAAGGGAGCUCUAAUUAGCCAACUUCACAUGGGUUGGGAAAGUUCUGGCUCUGGCAAGGCUCUAGGGGUUGCCUCUCCAUCCUGGCUCUGGCUGCAUUUCAGGAGGGAAUGACCUCAGAACUUAAUACCAUGCUGUUGGAUCUGCAGGGCCAGGGCAGGAUCAGUCCCUACAAGACAUAAUCUGUCUGUUUUUAAAGUUCCAGGCAAGGGCCUGGUCUUGGAGGCUCCCAUAGAGGGUCUCUCUGUUGCAAAAUUUUUCUCAGGGGUUUGCUCUGUGAUUGCUCUUUCCUCUCUACUAUUAUAAAAUAAUGGAGCCACUUCCCCAAAACUCAGCUAUGGCUUCUGGGACAUGAUUCCCCAGAGGCAGGUUUUUGGGGGCUUGUGCAGGCCAUCUCAGCAGAAUGGGAGAGCAGGCAGCAGAGGUUCUUGCUCUUUCUGGUGUGCACACGGAGGUCAGGGCUGGUGCUGAGUGCUCAGGUCGCCCUCAGCAUCCUUCCCCCGGCGCCCCAAAGCCUUUCCUUGCAUCCUGCUGCUCUCUACUCCUCGUGCUGGGGCUGGGAUCCACCUUGGCCUUGCUGCGGCCCCUUCCUCCCUUCCAGCAUCACUCCCACUGGUUUUGCAGCCGUUUUUUCUGCCAGCGCAGGGCACUGAAAAGUGCUGGCACUGCCAAAAACCCUGUGUGCACUACGACUCCCCAAACAUCCCUUUAUUUUUAUUGUUCUGUUAAUUACUGUUUAAACUUUAAUAAGUCACUUCGUCAGGAGGGGGGACCUGCAGUGAGGUUUCUGUGCAAACACUGGGCCCGGCAGUGACUCUAGUGUAACAUAACCCUUUAUACAAUGUGGGAAUGUUUAGACUGUAACAGAAACUUGUUAUUUUAAUGACAGUUAAAGGGGAAAAAAAAAAGAAAGGAGCGAAUGAAAAAGGGAAGCAAGUUUGUUGGGGAAAUGGCUCAUCUCAAUCUCUCUGUCUGGCCUCUUUUCUCUUGGCUUUAAUGAUAUCUGGAUAAGGAGGCUUUAUGGCUUCAGUUGAGGCAAGUUUUGUUCCCAGAGAUGCCCUAUCAAGGCAGUAUGCAAUCCCUUCAGUUCUGCAGGGUGAGGCCAACAGCAGAGAGAUGCUGAUGGAAGCACCAUGGCUUGAUUUUGCUCAGACACAGCAGCAGAUGCCUAAAGCCAAUUUGAGCUCAGUCUAAUUAUUCUGACCCACACAAGAGACUUUCCCCUUCUAUUCAGAGCUUCUUCCACUGGUUAAGUUUUUAAGUAGCUGUGCUGACACAGAUGCUGGCAUGUCGUACAUAGGAGGGUCCAACAUCCCAUGGAAAAAAUGGACCUUGAAGCAGGAAGAUGUUUUAUUUUGACUCCUCAAAAUGAGGAAUCAUGCAGACCUGAGGGAGGGAGAGAGCCUGGCUCACACUCUUGGCAGUGGGAGAAGAGAGGAUUCACAGGCAUCCUUGAUUUUGGGCUGUGAUUUCUGACAUCUGCAUUGCUUUGAGGUGGAGAGUGACUGUGCAGUGGCUGCUGUCCCCGCACCACAGCACUGAAGUCACCUCCAGGUUUGGCUUGGCUAUAUUUAGCACUCACUAUAGACAAGACCAUAUAGAGUGAUAUAUAUGAUCUGAAAACCUUCAACUCCUGCUGACCUCUGCUGCUGCAGUGAAAUCCCCCAAAUCUGAGCAGUCUGAGUGAGAAGUGACGUGAGACCAGGAGAAGGGAGAGCUCCUAUGUUUUCCUGGACAGAAUUCCGUGUUCCCCUCCGCAGGCUGGUCACCAGUCCCUGGCAGGGCUGCUCCUCUGGGAAGCUCAGCUUUUUCUGCCAGACCUGGCUGUUGGGCCCAGAGAAGGGCAGACUGGGGCACAAGAGCUUUGGCAGGAGAUACUGGGAAGGAGAAGGGUGGAAUGGUGCUGGGAACUUGAGGAAAGAAGACGGGAGAAGAAGAGUGCCCUAAGGCCAAGGCCAGCAACUGGGAUGGGAAGUGGGGCACAAAGGGCAAAACUUCGGAGGGGAGGAGAGAUUAGGAGGGUGUGGGGUGUAAGGAGCACUUUGCUGGGAGAAAGAACCUUCUUCAGGUGCCGCCUCAUUCCCAGGGAUCUCUCUCCCUCUUUGCUAAGUUCUGGCUAGAACAGGAGCCUGGGGGACUCCAUAAAGCUUUUUGGUGAGGAUGAGUGUAGGGUGGAGUAGGAGAGGAUGAAAUCAUGGGCCUCUGGGGAGUGUGUGUUUUCCCAAGUGGGUGAGCAUGCAGGGAGCAGGCCAAAACAGUUCGUGCUUUCCUCACCCACUGCUGGGGUUGUGAUUGUUAUUGAUUGGGUUUGCUGUUCUCGGCACUUUGUGUUUUUCCAGCUGAGCACUGGCUGCCCCUGGAAUUUUUUUUUUUUCCCUCUGCCUUAGUUCAAAUAUGCACAAACAUGGCAGAUGGGGCAAGUGUAUGCCCAGCUCUGUGCCAGCCAGCACUGCAGGGGCUGAGCCUGCACUGGGGCUGCACAGGGCUGGGAGAGUGCAGGGAUGUGUGAAAGGUACUAGUAACACACAGACCUGCUGUUAGUUGGAUUAAAUUCAUAGGUCUGUGUUAUCUCUGGAUGUAUGUCAUACAAAAAGUUAAAGAAAUCUGCUCUUGUAUGGAAACUACUGUCAGGGCUUUGUGUUGGAGCAAGUAAUAGGGACAUGCACAGGGAUUCGCACUCUUGGGCAUGUAUAACGUAUAGCUGGCUUAGGGUGCAUAAACUUCAACCUCAAAGCCAAGGGGCUAAGAGAAUGCUAGCUGCAGAGGUGGUUUUGUUUCAUUUCCAACACGUGGUCAUGACUUUCAGACCCCACCAAGGCCCUCAUGUGGGGCUGUUCUCCCUCUGGCCGUGCGCUCGUUUUCCGUCCUCCGCAGAGCUGUGCCUGCUCAUGCGGCCAGUGGCAGGAGCCGUCCCUUUAGGAAUGGUAUUUUCCAGGUUCCUGUGUGAGGCCAAACAUGUCCCAGCUGCAAAAAUAACUAGUCUGUAUAUCCUGUGGAAACAGGAGCAGCAGCGACAUAUCUGUCUGGUCUGGGCAGAGCUGGCUUGUAACUAAUGCCCCAAAGGGGCAUCAAGCGGCUGCAAGCUCCUUGUCAGUGUGCAGAAGCUCAAAAUAGAGACCUCUGGGGAGGACUAGCCCCUUGGAGGGUAAAGCUCUGCAGUGGGCAGAGCAACAGAUACCUCUGAGCCUCUUGCAGGGCCAGUGUGUUCCAUCCAGCGAGACAUUAAUAUUGACUGGCUUCCCUGGGCCAGCUCGGGGCGCGCAGGCUGCUGGCACAGAGCAUCCCCAGAGCAGCCCCAGCCCCUUGCCGGCUCCCUCCUGCCUCCCCCGUGGCCACUGGGGUCACUUUGGCUGCAGAGCACAAGCAGAGCUCAAGGAUAGAGCCCCCUGGACGGAGCCAAGGAGCCACCGAGUAAAAACGCUGAGGUUUUCCUUUUCUGUACAGCGCGUUUCCCUAAAUUGCCUUUGACUGUGUGCAUCGCUAAUGAAAGUUUAUGCCCUUGUUAGAAGGACAGGCAGGUCCAUUCCAGUUAGGGCUGGGUCUAUCCUUCUGCCAACUGCCCUCCCCAGCACACACACAUACACUCUCACUCACUUGCUCUCCCUGGUGAAUAAGUAGAGGCUGUUAUAAAAAAAAAAAAAAAAAAAAAAAAGGAGAGGCAAAAAAAAGAGGAGGGGAAAAAAAAUUUCCAUAUUUGUGUAAGUUGCUUUAAAAGCAUUUUAUCAUGUCAUAAAAAAAAAGGAAAGUACUCUCGGAAAUUGAUCCUGCACAAGAGCCCAUUGGACAGAAGGACGUUGGGAUGUUAAUGGCUAUUUUGCUCCAGGGUGGCUUAUUAAAAAAUUUAUACAUAAAUGCUUAAAAUUGCAUAAAUUAUUUAAAAAAAAAACAUAGUAAGCAAUUUGCAAUCCCCAUCUACUUUUCCUCUUUUUCUUUCCCUCAUCAUUCUUUUCUUCCAUUCUUUCCUACAAAAAGAAAAUAUUCCUUCGCACUUCUCUUACCCUUGUCCCCUCCCUGUCUGAAAAUGUGAUCUGCCCAAAAUUGUAC